AUACGAAGGGACCUAGCGUAGUUCGGAAUUACUGGGCUUAAAGAGUUCGUAGGUGGUUGAAAAAGUUGGUGGUGAAAUCCCAGAGCUUAACUCUGGAACUGCCAUCAAAACUUUUCAGCUAGAGUAUGAUAGAGGAAAGCAGAAUUUCUAGUGUAGAGGUGAAAUUCGUAGAUAUUAGAAAGAAUACCAAUUGCGAAGGCAGCUUUCUGGAUCAUUACUGACACUGAGGAACGAAAGCAUGGGUAGCGAAGAGGAUUAGAUACCCUGGUAGUCCACGCCGUAAACGAUCAUCACUCGCUGUUGGCGAUAUGCUGUCAGCGGCCAAGCGAAAGUAUUAAGUGAUGCACCUGGGGAGUACGCCGGCAACGGUGAAACUCAAAGGAAUUGACGGGGGCCCGCACAAGCGGUGGAGCAUGUGGUUUAACUCGAUGAUACGCGAGGAACCUUACCAGGGCUUAAAUGUAGUAUGACCGGCUUGGAAACAGGCCUUCUCUUCGGAGCAGAUUACAAGGU
rnacentral:rRNA from 1 species